rnacentral:miRNA from 1 species
CGGCGGGGACGGCGAUUGGUC